rnacentral:rRNA from 1 species
CCCUUAGAUGUUCUGGGCCGCACGCGCGCUACACUGAUGCAUUCAACGAGUCUAAAACCUGCUCUGAUAGGGGUGGGUAAUCUUUUGAAUGUGCAUCGUGAUUGGGAUAGAUGAUUGCAAUUUUUCAUCUUCAACGAGGAAUGCCUAGUAAACGCAAGUCAUCAGCUUGCAUUGAUUACGUCCCUGCCCUUUGUACACACCGCCCGUCGCUCCUACCGAUUGAAUGACCCGAUGAAUAUCAUGGAUUGAGGAUGCAAGUAGGUUCGCCUAUCUUCAUCUUCGAGAAGUGAAGUAAAUCUUAUCAUUUAGAGGAAGGAGAAGUCGUAACA